CGCGCAGGCGGUCGAUUUAGUCGUGUGUGAAAGCCCCCGGCUCAACUGGGGAGGGUCACGCGAUACUGAUCGACUCGAAGGCAGGAGAGGGAAGUGGAAUUCCCGGUGUAGUGGUGAAAUGCGUAGAUAUCGGGAGGAACACCAGUGGCGAAGGCGACUUCCUGGCCUGUUCUUGACGCUGAGGCGCGAAAGCUAGGGGAGCAAACG
rnacentral:rRNA from 1 species